rnacentral:misc_RNA from 1 species
CCGAGUGAGGGCCCUCUGGGUCCAACCUCCCACCCGUGUCUCUUGUACCUUGUUGCUUCGGUGGGCCCGCCUUUAUGGCCGCCGGGGGGCAUCCGCCCCCGGGCCCGCGCCCGCCGAAGACACCCCUGAACGCUGUCUGAAGAUUGCAGUCUGAGCAGAUUAGCUAAAUCAGUUA